UAGCUACUGUCAAAGGAAAGGAAUUGACAAUUGUCAGAUUAAAGUAUUGUCUAGUUACUGUAAAUUUUAUUUGUCUUCUGAUUUUAAAACCCUUCAGAGGAUUCAAUAGAUUGUCAUUUUAAUUGUAGCGCAGUUAUCUUAGUACUCUACUGUAUAGUCGAUAAUAUCAUGGUGUGUUUGCCCUGUUUCGUUGUUCCCGUGCUGCUGAUGCUGUGGCGGUUCAUAAUCUGGCCGUUAAUCAGGCCUCUCUACGUCCGUUGGUACGGAAAUGCUGAAGACAAGAAAGCCGUCAACGGUACUGUAGAAAAACUGGAUAAACUAGGUGAUGACGGUUGCCCUUUUGGCUGCCCUUUAAAACCCAAAGAGAAAACAGUAUCUGCAGCAGAUGAGAAAAAAAUAUCAUGAUUAAUCUCUCCUAAUGUUAAAUUUGUAAAUUGUUUGUAAUUUUAUAUCUGUUUUUCCCCUUUAUAGAAAAUGUACUAAACAUUAGAAUUACUCUUGUCGUGCAUUUUUAAUUUAAAUCGCUGUUCAUCAGAAUUGAAAAAAUUAUGACUUUGUGUUUGUUAAUUUAAUUUCAAGUCUACAGGGUGCAUUUAUACUUAGGCACAUAGUUUAUAUUGUUGUAUUAUAAUAAAUGUUUGUUAUUUUAGAACA